rnacentral:rRNA from 1 species
ACGCCCUACGGGGGAAAGCAGGGGAUCGCAAGACCUUGCACUAUUGGAGCGGCCGAUAUCGGAUUAGCUAGUUGGUGGGGUAACGGCUCACCAAGGCGACGAUCCGUAGCUGGUUUGAGAGGACGACCAGCCACACUGGGACUGANACACGGCCCAGACUCCUACGGGAGGCAGCAGUGGGGAAUUUUGGACAAUGGGGGAAACCCUGAUCCAGCCAUCCCGCGUGUGCGAUGAAGGCCUUCGGGUUGUAAAGCACUUUUGGCAGGAAAGAAACGUCGCGGGUUAAUACCCCGCGGAACUGACGGUACCUGCAGAAUAAGCACCGGCUAACUACGUGCCAGCAGCCGCGGUAAUACGUAGGGUGCAAGCGUUAAUCGGAAUUACUGGGCGUAAAGCGUGCGCAGGCGGUUCGGAAAGAAAGAUGUGAAAUCCCAGAGCUUAACUUUGGAACUGCAUUUUUAACUACC